rnacentral:misc_RNA from 1 species
AGUCGUAACAAGGUAGCCGUAGGGGAACCUGCGGCUGGAUCACCUCCUUACCUGAAAAACCUGGCUUUGGAAUGGCCCCCCCGAUUGGCUGAAGAAAAAUAAACAAUAAAGAAUCUCUGCAGGCUUGAAUUUCAGGUGCCCAUAGCGCACCCCUGAUAAAGGUGAGGUCUGCGGUUCAAGUCCACUCGUGCCUACCCCCUUCGCCUCCGGACUGCGUUAUGGCAACGCUCGCAUACAGCAGUAUGCUUCCUGUUACCUGACCUUGCCCGGAAACGAAUUAGGGUACAGAGAUUCAUUAUUACGAUGGGGUUAUGGCUCAGCUGGAAAAGCGCCUGCCUUGCACGCGUGAGGUCUGCGGUUCAAUACCGCAUAACUCCACCAUCCUUUUACUGCUGAUUUUCGAAAACUUCGGGUGUACCUGAAAAGGUGUGCUGCGAAGUUUUGCUCUUUAAAAAUCUGGAUCAAGGUGAGAAUUGAAACGACCCACUGUGUCUGCUCUCCGUAAUAAGAGCAAGUAAGCGGUGUGUUCCAGUCUCUCUGAUUUUCGCAACACUGCGGUUGUUUUACCAAACAUCUUCGGGUUGUGAGGGUAAGCAACUAAGCGUACACGUGUGGAUGCCUUGCCAC